GACGAACGCUGGCGGCGUGCUUAACACAUGCAAGUCGAACGGAAAGGCCCUGCUUUUGUGGGGUGCUCGAGUGGCGAACGGGUGAGUAACACGUGAGUAACCUGCCCUUGACUUUGGGAUAACUUCAGGAAACUGGGGCUAAUACCGGAUAGGAGCUCCUGCUGCAUGGUGGGGGUUGGAAAGUUUCGGCGGUUGGGGAUGGACUCGCGGCUUAUCAGCUUGUUGGUGGGGUAGUGGCUUACCAAGGCUUUGACGGGUAGCCGGCCUGAGAGGGUGACCGGCCACAUUGGGACUGAGAUACGGCCCAGACGCCUACGGGAGGCAGCAGUGGGGAAUAUUGCACAAUGGGCGGAAGCCUGAGGCAGCAACGCCGCGUGCGGGAGGACGGCCUUCGGGUUGUAAACCGCUUUCGCCUGUGACGAAGCGUGAGUGACGGUAAUGGGUAAAGAAGCACCGGCUAACUACGU
rnacentral:rRNA from 1 species